CCUACGGGAGGCAGCAGUGAGGAAUAUUGGUCAAUGGACGAGAGUCUGAACCAGCCACGUAGCGUGAAGGAUGACUGCCCUAUGGGUUGUAAACUUCUUUUAUAUGGGAAUAAAAUGUUCCACGUGUGGGAUUUUGUAUGUACCAUAUGAAUAAGGAUCGGCUAACUCCGUGCCAGCAGCCGCGGUAAUACGGAGGAUCCGAGCGUUAUCCGGAUUUAUUGGGUUUAAAAGGAGCGUAGGUGGAUGGUUAAGUCAGUUGUUAAAGUUUGCGGCUCAACCGUAAAAUUGCAGUUGAAACUGGCAGUCUUGAGGACAGUAGAGGUGGGCGGAAUUCGUGGUGUAGCGGUGAAAUGCUUAGAUAUCACGAAGAACUCCGAGUGCGAAGGCAGUUCAAUGGACUGCAACUGACACUGAGGCUCGAAAGUGUGGGUAUCAAACAGGAUUAGAUACCCCGGUAGUC
rnacentral:rRNA from 1 species